CCCCGACCCGAACACGGUAGUUAAGCUUCUCUGCGCCAAUGGUAGUUGGGGGCUUCCCCCUGCGAGAGUAGGUCGCUGCCGGGC
rnacentral:rRNA from 1 species